GGGAGCUUGCUCCCGGAUGUUAGCGGCGGACGGGUGAGUAACACGUGGGUAACCUGCCUGUAAGACUGGGAUAACUCCGGGAAACCGGAGCUAAUACCGGAUAGUUCCUUGAACCGCAUGGUUCAAGGAUGAAAGACGGUUUCGGCUGUCACUUACAGAUGGACCCGCGGCGCAUUAGCUAGUUGGUGGGGUAAUGGCUCACCAAGGCGACGAUGCGUAGCCGACCUGAGAGGGUGAUCGGCCACACUGGGACUGAGACACGGCCCAGACUCCUACGGGAGGCAGCAGUAGGGAAUCUUCCGCAAUGGACGAAAGUCUGACGGAGCAACGCCGCGUGAGUGAUGAAGGUUUUCGGAUCGUAAAGCUCUGUUGUUAGGGAAGAACAAGUGCGAGAGUAACUGCUCGCACCUUGACGGUACCUAACCAGAAAGCCACGGCUAACUACGUGCCAGCAGCCGCGGUAAUACGUAGGUGGCAAGCGUUGUCCGGAAUUAUUGGGCGUAAAGGGCUCGCAGGCGGUUUCUUAAGUCUGAUGUGAAAGCCCCCGGCUCAACCGGGGAGGGUCAUUGGAAACUGGGAAACUUGAGUGCAGAAGAGGAGAGUGGAAUUCCACGUGUAGCGGUGAAAUGCGUAGAGAUGUGGAGGAACACCAGUGGCGAAGGCGACUCUCUGGUCUGUAACUGACGCUGAGGAGCGAAAGCGUGGGGAGCGAACAGGAUUAGAUACCCUGGUAGUCCACGCCGUAAACGAUGAGUGCUAAGUGUUAGGGGGUUUCCGCCCCUUAGUGCUGCAGCUAACGCAUUAAGCACUCCGCCUGGGGAGUACGGUCGCAAGACUGAAACUCAAAGGAAUUGACGGGGGCCCGCACAAGCGGUGGAGCAUGUGGUUUAAUUCGAAGCAACGCGAAGAACCUUACCAGGUCUUGACAUCCUCUGACAACCCUAGAGAUAGGGCUUUCCCUUCGGGGACAGAGUGACAGGUGGUGCAUGGUUGUCGUCAGCUCGUGUCGUGAGAUGUUGGGUUAAGUCCCGCAACGAGCGCAACCCUUGAUCUUAGUUGCCAGCAUU
rnacentral:rRNA from 1 species